rnacentral:lncRNA from 1 species
UGGUUGAUUCUUCUUCUUUAGCAAUUUUGCAUCUAACAAAGUUGUAGUUUAUCAGUGACUGGUUUUGAAAUUACCUUAUUGGGUUUUGCAAAUUAUGGUUUUGGUGAAGCUGGAAUUUCAACACUUGGUUGAACAUCCACUGAAUCUUGAGCAUCAGUUGGCUCCUCUUCAACUUCAAUAGUGUUGGGCUCUAAUGUCUUUCCGCUCCUCAAUGUCAAUAAUUUAC